rnacentral:tRNA from 2 species
GCCACGAUCGCAUAACCUGGUAUUGCGCAGGAUUGCUAAUCCUGUUUCCUUCGGGAUAUCUGGGUUCAAGAGAGUCCCAGUCGUGGCG